UCCUCAGCACACCUCAGAACUCCAGCCUGUCCCUCUCCUCAGCACACCUCGGCCACCAUCAGCAAAGCCACUGGGCACCAACAGGACGAGCGGCCAGACCACCAAGUGGGUUCGUUACGAACACAGUCAGCAUGACAGAACCUGUGUUAGCAACUGAGAUGUGUAGCACCAGACAGAAAACAGAGAUACUAACACAAAUUCAAGUUCUCCUUUUGACCCAGUAGCAUCCCAUCCUAUUUCAAACAAUACACAUAAAAAGUAAAUUAAGCUGUUUAAGGUUUAACAAGCAAGUAUGACCGUUCUCAGAAGCUUGGGACACUGACAGAUACCUUACGAGAACAGGGGCUAGAGAAGGAAAAUAUGAUCAAACAAUGAAAUUAACUCUUAAUCCACCAUGCUACUUCCAAUUUUUAAAUAUUUGAUGCAUUUUUUAUGUGAAAUCAAAAUCAGGGUAUGAAAAUGGCCCAAAGCAGCAGGCUUAAACACGUUGCAGCAUAUUGAGCACAUCAGAGCUCGUGGAAGACCUGGGUUCCUGAAGCAUGGUAAAAAUACCAUGCAAACUGUAGUGAAAACCCUGAAGAAAACAGAGUAAUAAAUAAGUUUCAGCAACUGAGAGGAAGGAACGAAACGCAGGUAGAAGCAGAGCUACAGAGAGCAGCUCACGGAGUGCACAAGCCCAAUGAGCACAUUCAUGAAAUGUAACUGUCAAGUGAUUUGAGGAGGGAACCACAUGGGCAGAAUGCCAUAAAAUGAAGAUACAACAUAAAACGAAGGAGAAGAACCAGAUAAGGGUUUUUGUUUUGUUUUGUUUUUUAAUUUAUUUUUUCCCUGAAGAUAUUUACCCUACUAAUAAUUUGAUGGCAGUGACAGAUUGCUGGUGGUUUGAUCCUAGACAGCUCUGUCCAACGUGGCAUCAGUAGAGCUCUGCCUGCGGAUGGCUGGACAUACACUGACACCAGAAAUCCAGACAGGCGUGAGACCUGGAAACUAUUGUGGCAUAGCAGACCCUGAGAUGUGUGGGCAAUCUCCUGGUUUCAUACAUAGGCUUCAUCCAUACCGCAAAGCUGCUUUGUUGCUGCUGUUUCACAGGAGGCAGCCCUUUCUGAAGGAGGUUUCUGAAGCAUAUGGUUAUUGGAUAUUGGGCUGGUACCUGCCAUACCUUGCACAGCAACAGACUGUUUCUGCAAAAAGAAGGAAAAAAAGCAGAAGUCCUCCUGCCUUGGUGCAGAGCUGCCUUCAAGUGUCGCAAGGUUCUUUUCACUCUGAGCUUCUGAUAUGGAGUAUUUGAAUUUCCACCAUUCCACUCAAAACAUUUUAAUCUUCUGGCUGCUUUCUGUUCUAAAUAAGUAAAUAAAUGUAUAUAAAUAAAGAAAUCUCA
rnacentral:lncRNA from 1 species